rnacentral:rRNA from 1 species
UACGAAGGGGGCUAGCGUUGCUCGGAAUCACUGGGCGUAAAGGGUGCGUAGGCGGGUCUUUAAGUCAGGGGUGAAAUCCUGGAGCUCAACUCCAGAACUGCCUUUGAUACUGAGGAUCUUGAGUUCGGGAGAGGUGAGUGGAACUGCGAGUGUAGAGGUAAAAUUCGUAGAUAUUCGCAAGAACACCAGUGGCGAAGGCGGCUCACUGGCCAGAUACUGACGCUGAGGCACGAAAGCGUGGGGAGCAAACAGG